CAGAGUGCGCAACCGUCUACAGUGACCACAGACUUUUGUAAGACGGUUAUGAUGGACUCCUCGUCUCUCAGCCCGGAUCUGCUGGCGAAGCUCCAUCUGCAGCAAGUCAGUUCAGAGUGCACAGGUGGCACACGUGCAUCCAUCUACAAUGGACAGAAAUAUACAGAGAGGCAGAGGAGAAAGAGUUCGUGUGAGAGGUGAUGGAGGAGGGAGAGGCAGAGGAAGACCAAGAACAAUCAUUACUGAUGAAAUCUGGGCAACUACUGCAUCAUCAGGACAUUCAGAGAAGAGAACGGAAUUGAAAGACAACCAAAUGAGGGUGGAGGGACUCCUCUUUUUUCCCAACAACAAGAAGCACUCAGCAGGUACCGGCCAGUGGCACUGACAUCGCAUCUGAUGAAGACACUGGAAUGGCUGGUCCUCGUCCAUCUCCA